GAUGAACGCUGGCGGCGUGCUUAACACAUGCAAGUCGAACGAUGAAGCCCAGCUUGCUGGGUGGGUUAGUGGCGAACGGGUGUGUAACACGUGAGUAUCCUCCCCCUAAGUCUGGGAUAAGCCUGGGGAACUGGGUCUACUACAGGAUAGGAGCGUCCACCACAGGGGGGGUGUUGGACAGCUUUUUCGGUUUUGGAUGGACUCGCGGCUUAUCAGCUUGUUGGUGAGGUAUUGGCCCACCAAAGCGACGACAGGUAGCCGGCCUGAGAGGGUGACCGGACCCACUGGGACUGAGAGACGGCGCAGAGUGCUACGGGAGGCAGCAGGGGGGAAUAUUGCACAACGGGCGCAAGUGUGAUGCAGCGACGCCGCGUGUGGGAUGACGGCCUGCGGGUUGUAAACCGCUUUCGGUUGGGAAGAAGCGAUAGUGACGGUACCGUAAGAAGAAGCACCGGCUAACUACGUG
rnacentral:rRNA from 1 species